AGUCGACUGUUGCCCGCACCGAUGCGAAAUUCGAGUACAGAGUUGACUGAAUCUGACAGUAAGUGGCUUUUCUUUUAAGUUACUUGAAGAUUUCAGUUCACAAAAAGGUGUUGAAGAAUGACGUUGAGUCGUGCUUGAGAAAUAUCUGGUCGUUGGCCGCUUCAACUAUGAAUUUGCGGAUUGCAUCUCUAGCUGGAAUGGGUUAUGUUUGAUGCAGGGGUGGAGACUGCUUUGGUCAACUUAUUGUCUGUUCCUUAGGCUUUUCAACGCUUUUCUUUUCUCAUGUCGGGCAAGAAGGUUGGUCCACGAUUAAGCCGUGCCCUCGAUCGCUGGUGCUGCAUUGUUCCGUCAUGGAGUCUGUCCCCGAUUCGCCUGCAAAAAGUCCAUCUGUGCUGUUUGGGAAGCUUGAUUGUGGAAUGGUUGCUCUCUCUGAAGGCUGGUGCAUGGCCUUGAUGAGGCUGAAAGUAUUAUCAUCAACGGUGGAAACCCGUUCGGUCAUUGUUUGGUGAUGAUGAUGUCUACACCCUAGAGGCUUUAGAAGAACAGAGGAUUUCCACUGUCUUGUGGAUAACAGAGGGAGAUCCAAACCAGAAGUAUGGAGGAAGUCCUUAAAUGAACCGUAUUGCUUUCACAUUUUUGGGAUAAACACGACAAGUAAUCAAUGGGUGGCUAGAAAGCUCAAAUCAGAAUGUUUUGUUACAGCUGCCACUGAACGAAAUUGGAAAGCCGCUCUUGCAAUUGCUGUGGUUUCAGCCAGAAAUGUGCACCAUUUUUGGCUAGACUGAUGGCAGGGACAAAAAAAUUCAAAGCUCAGGGAUCACCCAACUGUUUAUGGCCCUGAAAUGAAGUGGGAGGAAUUGUGCAUAUGAUUUUUAAUUCUGUGGAGAGCUUAAUUGGUACUGCAUCAGAAGCAAGGACUUCCAACUACAACCGUAAUCUUGACAUAGGAGUAGCUCAUUGGCAAUAUUAGGAGUGCAAAUUGACUUGGAAG